rnacentral:lncRNA from 1 species
AUGGACAGCUGCAAGAACAAAGGAUUCCUACACCACGAAGUUUGCAACAACCAACCACACACCCCUCCCCCUUUUAGUAUGAAAGAAGCCUGAAAUCUAAUUUGUAUAGAUGGCUCUCUAAGACAUUGUCCACCCUCUUCUUGGACUCCUGGCUUUGCAAAUAUUGCCAUUCCUCAUCCUAACACCUCGUCCCUUGAUUUACUGGCCUGUUAUGGGUAAGCAGAAUGGGCUUGGACUCUUUCCAUCACAGCUUCAGAUUCUACAGCAGAGACAGAAAGAUCUAAUUUUCAAGGAUUAAAAAUGUCUGAUGCCUUGGCUAUAUGGCAGUGUUUCCCAUGGACAGAGAUGAUGUAUUCCCAACCAGAUUUGCAAAGUAUUCCAUUAACUGCCUCAUAACUGUCAUAUCUAUGGAAAAAUCUCAGCAUGCCUCAGCAUCAAGAAAGCUCUUGAUACAUACAUCACAACACAACAUUGGGAGGAAAAAAAAUAUGUAUACAUGUGUGUGUGACUUGGUCCCCAUGCUGUACAGUGGAAAAAAAAUAAAUAAAUAAAAGAAAGCUCUCAAAUGUUGAAAUACACAAAAGUCUAUUUUAGAUCUCUGUGUCUCAUCUGAGUUCUGCUUAGGUAAACCCAGUUAGAUUUAAUGAUGCUGUCAUGCAUUUGUUAUUAAGUUAUAUUAAUAUGGGUCAAUCAGACCCUUGAGAUAUGUUUGCCCCUCUAGGUUCCCUGCCUAGAUUAGAUGCCCAGGCAAUUUCUGUCUAGCUCCAAAGCCAGAGUUGUCCACAACAGCCUCUUGCCUUGAUAAUGUCACUUAUCUGGAAGUCUAAGCUUAAGAAUGAGAAACAGAAUUUGUGUGGUCCUAUCUGAUACUGAAAUCUCACCUUUGCCUGUAUCCCUGGUCUUGCCUCCUGGAUCUCCCACUUUUAAAAAAAAGUUAUGAUUUUUUAAGAUCUUCCUCUGUUCCUACUAGAAUUGUCUGGAUGGGGUAACUUCUCCGGGAAUGUGUAGGGUAAGGUAGGGAUGGGGGAGGAACUGAGGUGUCUAUAUUCAAAAAUAACAUGUUCUAGACAGAGAAGACGCAUUGUGAUCCAUCCCAAUACAAGAAUAGUACCAUAUGUAAACAUUCUUAAAUAUUUUAUGUUAUAAAUAAAAUAAGAGAAUGAUAUACA